rnacentral:rRNA from 1 species
UACGUAGGGUGCGAGCGUUAAUCGGAAUUACUGGGCGUAAAGCGUGCGCAGGCGGUUGUGCAAGACCGAUGUGAAAUCCCCGGGCUUAACCUGGGAAUGGCAUUGGUGACUGCACGGCUAGAGUGUGUCAGAGGGGGGGUAGAAUUCCACGUGUAGCAGUGAAAUGCGUAGAGAUGUGGAGGAAUACCGAUGGCGAAGGCAGCCCCCUGGGAUAACACUGACGCUCAUGCACGAAAGCGUGGGGGAGCAAACAGG